UAUAACAUGCAAAAUUCACUUUCACUUAUUUCUCUCUUGCAUGUCAAUUUUUACUGCAUAAAAAUCAAUGCUGAGUGAAGUUCAAAAUGUAUUUCAAUUCAUCGUAUUACGGAAUUGCAAAGUGUACCGUGUUAGCAAUCAACAGGAGCUAGAUAAGAAAAAAUACAACACUAUUACUUCACAUAUCUCAAAGUUUUUAAAUGAGCUCUGUAAAAAUUGUUUUAUCUGUUAUUUGUACUAUAUUUUAAUUAAUUUGUCUAAAUAAUUAAAAUGUAGCUUUUAACAAUAGGAUGGUAAUGAAAAGCAAAUGGAAAAAAAUGCAAUGUAUUCAUGAAUACGAGGAAAAGAAAAAUAUAAAGAUAAGAAUUACUUCAUUUAGGUUUUGAUUGAAAAUAAUGAAGUAAAUAAUUUUAUUCUGAUUCCUUCAGGUUUACCAGCAGGCUCAUUUCCCUUGUGGGUUUUCUUGUUUUUGCUGUUCAAAAGCUCAAAGAUUUUCAGCUUGAGUAUGAUUCAUAUUGUACCAUUUUGUAUUUCUCCCUUCAGAUUUUUUAUCCUGUAUAACCAAGACAUUAAAACUGAGAUAAAAACUCAGAAGAGAUGGACAGAAAUGUUCAGCAAUUCCGGAGAAAAGGAUUUAAAAGCUUAGCAAAAGGCAAACCUUUCCUACAGGUUGUUUUGACAACUGAAAAUGCUACUGAAAAGAUAUAAUUCAAUCUGACACACUGUGAGAUUCAUCCACUGUGUAACUUCAUCCAUAAUGAUGGGCAUAUGUGUCAACCAAAAUUUCUGUUCAAUCAUUGAUGUAUUGUUCUUUUAAAACAAUUGCUUGUUGGAGCGCCUCACAUUUAAGAAACAACCAGAAAAUCUUGACCUGGAAGAUAACUUUUAUUCUUAAGAACAUUUCGAUCUGUUUCAAAGCAUGGUUCUUUACAAAAUCCAAUUAAUUUUCCCAGUGUGAUUCCUUUUAGACAAAGUAAGUGAAGAGAACAGAAUAAUCUUCUUACUUAUUGACCAGAAGCUGACUGUUUCUCAUCCUUUUGCUAACAUUUGCUAAUGUUUUGGGUUGCGAAUGCUACAGCGGAUGUUUAUUUGCUUGUGAGUAUUUCUAACAGAUUUAGUUUCAUCAUUUUAUAAAACAGUUUAAAUGUCAGAGGAUACUUGAAUAUGUAUGAACUCAAUUUUUACUAUCAAUAUUAGCUUGCAGAUUACUUUGAAAAGCAUUACUGCUUAUCAAGAUCAUUAUCAUGCUGUCUUUCUAGAUACUGUAUAUCUUAUCUUACCUAUACUUUCUUCCUCUUCCUUCUCCAGUGUUCAUUUCCUUCUCCAUUAUAUUAUAUCAUAAUUUCUAAUGAUUUGCAAAAGGAUGGACUUAAAGUGUGUCUCUAGCACAGUGUCUAUUGUAUUGGUUAAGCCUUGCUAUCUUUUAUUAUUUAAAUCUGAACAGUUUUUUUCCUCAGGACUAAAUCAUCUGAGUUCUUUAAUGGACCUUUUAUAAAUACUACAGCUCUUCCAUGACUGUCUUUGAGAUAAAGCUGCUGUUAAUUCAGUGGUUUUAUAGUAGGCUUGAUUAUUCUGUGUUUAAUUAAGAGUGGAUUCCAAAGAAAUAAAAGAAAAAAAGCAGAAAUGUGAAGAAUCAUAAAAAUCAGCACUGAUCAAAAAUAUCUUCAGUCCAAGUUUGCGCAGAGCCAGGUGUGAGAUACACCAGAGAACUGCAAUGUCCUUUUGAGAUCUUGCUCAGGUAUAGCUAUGCCCUGGGUCGCCAAACUUUGUCUUGACACCAAAUUCAUUUGCUUGUUCUGUGGCUUGUACUUCUGCCUUUUGUCACCUUUACUGUAGUUCUGCUCAGAUUCCAUUUUAUAUUUCCUGGCAUUCCUUCUAAAAUAUUCUUUUUUUAAUUUUGUUUGUGUUGAGACUCAUUGCAACCAUUUAAGCCCAUUGGUAAUCCAAAGCAUUUAUGGAAGGUGCUUUAUCCAUGCAUACAUAGUUCUACUACUUCAUUUGUAAUCAUGACCUUUGUUCCAUGCCAUAGUCUAAGCAAGAACUAGUUCCUUUACAGGAUUUUUGUUUGUUUGUUUGUUGUUUUUUGUGUAUGUGUGUAUGUAAAUGUGCAAUCUUAUGCUUUCAGAUAUCUUGAUGUAUUGCUUCUGUUUAUUGUUUCCAUCCUUAUGUCUAACUAGUUCAAAUUCUCUAUUACUCUUCAUUUAUUUUUUUUCCCCACUGUCUUAUAAGAGGGCUCUGUUUUGCCUUUUUAUUAUUACUUCUAAUGAGAAAGUAGAAGCUGGUUGAUGACUUUUCAGCAGAUAAGUUUUUAUUAGAAAAUGUCAGUUGCACAGAAUUGGUUUUCUGAAAACUGUGUGAAGGCAACUGGAAAUUAGGAAUAAUAUUGUUGCAUAUGGGAGUCGGAGUUUAGGGCUCUGAAUUCCCUUAUUCCCAGACUCCUUUUCUAUGCUCAGUGCAAUCUGUUCCUGCCGACCAUGCAAUUCAAGUGGCAUCAGCAGUUUCAGUAUGAAGCCUAACAGUAGGAAAAGCAGAGGGUUUCAUUUUUGUAGUUUAGUUUCAGCUCCAAUUUGAGAGAAUUUUGCAUCCAAGCUUUUCAAUUUUUCUUAUGAUGGAUGCUUCUGACUCUGCAGAACUCUCUAUCCUGAUAUAAUAUACAAUUACACAUGGGCUGAGCAGAGUUAAGCAGUUUCUCUUCUCUCCAAUCCAGUGAGACAGAGCAUGUGCUGCACUAGCUGCUGAUGGAGGGCUCUUCUGACCAAGGCACUGGAAUUUAUAUCCUACAUUACUUCUGAACAUCUAGUAGCAGGGAAUGCUUCUGCUGUAUAUAACCUCUGUGCCUCAGCCCCUGCUCAGCCACACUCUUGUAUCGCUUCUGUUCUGCACUAUUCUCACUGACUGCUAUUCAGAAAUCUCUGCUUCAAUUUCUUUGCCUUCUUUCCCAUACAUUUGUGAUUCACCAGCUUACAGCUCAGCUUCUUUCCCCUGCUCUGUCUGUUGGUUCUUCCCUUAAAGUGUAUCCCAGUAGACUGUGUCUGCUUCCAAAGGGCUUCCUAAAGCCGUGCAAACCUGUAUCUCUUCUGGACACAUCAACUUGAGAGUCUGUCAUCCCAGACAGGGCUGCUUUGGCAGAAGGAUGACAGGCUCAACUGUUGUUCCAGCACUCCCAUUUGUGCCUAGUAUCUCUGGCCCCAGCUCACAACUGGCUUUUCUAAUUGUCAUAAUGAAUUACAUUAGUUUCAAUUCUGAACGUAACACAAAAGAUGUACUAAAGUCCUAUUUACUCUGAGCUGAAUUUAAGUUUAACAGACACUGUCUCUGAUUCUCACCAUCAUCUCUCUAUCCAGAGCUUCCCUCUCUUGUAAUGAAUUACCCCUCCAUUACUGAGAGUUUCCUAAGUGCUUACCCUGCAUACCACUAGAACUGUUCACUGGCAUGCUUUAAAUGCUGUAUAGCCCAUUGAACCAAAUUUUGGCUCAGCACAGUAUAAACAAUGGAUGUAGAGCCAUAUCAGCUCCUGCCAUCCCACAGCAUUGUGCCUAGAUUUGCUGUCAGAGAUGAAAGAAGGAAGAGAAGAACCAGGCAACAUGCAGCAGCAUGGGCUGACAGUAAUGAGUUACAGGUUGUUGCACCUGCUGUGCACAAAAAAAAAAAAAAAAAAAAAAAAAAAAAAAUCCUCUUUAAAUAUUAUUUCAUUAUAAAGGUGGCCUUUGUUCAGAUUGCACGGUGACUGAGUGUUUGCUCAGAGUUCAGACUGUCAGAUCCACAUGGCAUGUGCCUGGGGACAGAUUGAUUCCUGGGUGCUCAGCAGGUGCCAGCAGCACAAACUGAUCUCUGUCAAAAGAUGCUAUUGUUUUCAGCCCCUCUCCCAAAAUUUUUCUGACCUGGAAUGUGUGGCUGAGCCUCAGCUGGAGUUCCACUGAUUGGCACCUGUCACGUGUUGACCCAAUAUAUCUCACAAGUAUUAAAAGGCCCUGCUUUUCUAGCCUCUCUAAGGGUUGCAAGUCCUCCUUCAACACAGCAAUUCUCUGCUGCCUAUUUUUGUCUUUACAGAUUAGAGAACAGGUCCUAGAUGUCCAAAGGAGAAGGUAUCAAGUGAGUGAGAGUUCAAAUCAAGUUUCAUAGUGGUUCUAAAUGCCUGUACUGUCUGCUUCUUCUAGAUCUAGUUUUCUCUCCUCUUGCCAUUGCAACAGUGCUGCAUCUCAUUGCACAGCCUCAGCUGAUGCUUAUUUCCUACUUCUGAAGCUCUCACAAACACAGAUUAUUAUGGAGAGGAGAUAGAUGAUUUGAUAGGACAAGAAUGAAUGUCUAAAUUAAAAAAGGGGAGAUCUAGAUUGGAUGUCAAGGGAAAAUUUUUCACUGAGAGGGUGAUGAGGCGCUGGCACUGCUGCCCAGAGAAGUUGUGGGUGCCCCAUUCCUGGAGGUCCUCAAGACCAGAUUGGGUGGGGCCCUGGGCAGCCUGAUCCAGUGAAUUGCAACCCUUACCAUGACAGGGGGUUGGAGCUCAAUGAUCUCUGAGGUCCCUUCCAAUCCAAGAUAUUCUCAUUCUCUUCAGAGAGGAGUAAGAUUUUUUUUUUUUCCAACAACCAGCUAUGCAUCUCUGCUCAACUACAUAAAUCCUCUGAAUUUUCUUCUGCUUUUUAUUUUUUUAAAUCCACAGAUUUUUCUUUCGUAUGGUUUAACAUCGGGUGGGCAGCACUCUCCUUGCAAGACACAAUGGCAUAAUGAAAUUUGCAGAGCAGUAAUUGCGUGAUGAAAACAUUUGUCUUUUUAGCCAUGGUGUGGCUGAGGGAUGGAGAGAGUAGAGGUCAUAUAGAAUAACAGAAUUGUUUGAGUUUGAAGGGAUGUUCACAGGUCAUCUAGUCCAACUCUGCUGCAAUGACCAGAGUCAUCUAUAGCGAGACUAGGAUUCUCAGGGCCUGUCCAGCCUGACCUUGAAUGUCUCCAGGGACAGGGCAUCCACAUCACUGGGCAGCUUAUGCCAGUGCUUCACUACCCUUAUCAUAAAAAAAACUUUGUUAUAUCCAGUCUAAGUCUUCCCUUUUCUGAUUUGAAGCCAUUUCUCCUUGUUCUAUCACAACAGACCCUGCUACACAGUCUGUCCCCUUCUUUCUCACAGUCCCCCUUUAGAUACUGAAAGGCCGCUCUAAGGUCUCUGCGCAGCCUCCUCUUCCCAAAGCUGAACAACCCCAGCUCUCUCAGCCUGUCCUCAUAGGAGAGGUGUCUGCCCUCCUACCAAUCACUGUCCCUCCAUAUCACCAGAAACAUGGUAUGCUUUUUUCCCUCCACAGCAGGGUCAGUUCACUCCUUUACUAACCCAAGAUCUGCUUUUCUAGCACUGUCCCAAGAAGCCAGCACGGCAGUAACAUCCAGAAAUGAGGUAAAUCGCAUCAUUUAUGAACUGAUUCUUCUGGGAAAUAAGUCAUUCUCAGCUGGAUUGUGCUGGCUGCCUACAUAGAUGGUUUGUUAAGCUGUUAUCUUAGGAUGUGUUUGUUUAUCAGGAAGGAACAAGGAAACGUGUAUGAGCAGGCAGGGUUUUUAUUCUGCAGUAAGGAGAUUUUGUCACAUGAAAAUUAUUUUUUUUAAUCAAUUCUGAAGGUUAACAUAAUGAUUCUGCCUUUAAAAAGCUACAUGUGAUUUAUAUGAUCAUCUUUAAAUUCACGUAACUGAACUUUAAGUGUGCUCAGCUUAUAUCUACAGAGGAAAGUUCCCACACCCCAUAGGGAGUAUGAGUAGUCCAAGUCCAAAAGACAGCUCAUCCAGGGCAAAGAGUGGGUGCCCCACAGCAGCAAGGUGCAAUAACAGUAUGGAGGCACUGCUGUGAUGGCAGCCACAGCACUUUUCAGGGCAGACGAGCCUUGAGAAGGGGGUGUUGCACUGACUCACCAGUCUCCAUGACACUGCAGAAACAGAGGCAAGAGAUGAUGGUGGGAGGGAGGUGGGCUCAUUAGCUCUACUGUCAAGACUGAUAACAAAACUUUUAAGUCAGCAGAAGCAAUUUAGAAGCAAAAGGCAUUAGAUUUCACAGCUAACUCUCCAAGGAGUCCAGCUCCCAGUACAGCUGUCUCCUCCAAAACAUUCAGAACCUUCAGAAGAGCAGUGAUAACUGGUAAACAGUGCAAGACGCUUUCAGGAAGCUCCCAUGUUUUCCUGUAGACACAAAAGAUUUGCAUUGCUGCCUUGUACUGGGGCCUUCCAGGAGCUAUUGACACUCAGCUCUUACUUCCUGUAUGGAAACAGCUAGUGGGAUUUACAGGAAACCUCUUUCAAUGAAAGAUAUAGUUGGUUCAUGUUAUGGAUGGGGCCCUAAGCAACCUCAUCUAGUGCCUGAUUUAGUGUUCAGCAGACCUGCCUGUGGCAGAGGGCUGGAACUAGAUGAUCUUUGAGGUUCCUUCCAUACCAAGCUGUUCUAUGAUUUUAGUGUGGUAGCUCUGUUAGAAUUAAGAAUUGAGGAAUUACAGGAAGAGUGUGCUAUGGUUUGAAUAUAUGACUGACUUUUGAUCCAAGUCAGUAUAUGACAAAUCAAUCUGCUGCAAGUACUGUUGUCCAUACCGACUUUAAAACCACAGCAACACUGAAUUCUUAGUUGCAGUACGGGGAAUUUCUAUUGUUUGUACAUGAGAAAUAAUUAAUAACCUGGCAAAGGCUUAAAUAGUGUUAUGUUAUGGAUAAUGAAUGUCAUUCAUAAUAUUGAUACCUUUCAUCAAGAAGUGUGGAAGGAAAAAUAAUACAAACAAAUCAAAGCAUGAAAGAAAAAUCAUAGGAAGGUUGUACUAGGUCAUGGCUGGCAGAUGUUAUGUCACCUUGUUCUGCGCUUGUGUGCAUACUCCCUUAUUUAGUUGAAUGCCUUAUUUAGUUGAAUGGAAUAAAAAUUCUUCUUGACAGGAAAGAACCCUGGAGGAUCCUGGAUCCUCUGUACCAGUCAAGACAAGAAGCAAAGAAAUUGUAGAGGACUUUAGGGGAAAUCUGUGUAUUUUCCUUUGCUGCUUGUAAAAUAUAAGAAGCAGUUGUGAACAUAGGGAGCGUCAGAAGUUAUUUGUGUGAAUGGUGUUUGACUUAUGUGUGCAUGUAAAUUUAGGAAUGAGACUUGGACCCAUCUCUCCCCACUUCUGCCACAGCUGUGUACAGGAUCUCUAGGUUUGUAGUCCUUGUCUUCAGUGUGGGGCCAAUAACAGAGAGGAACACAGGGACCUGUGAUAUAUGUUAGAUCAGGCUGUGUCUGCAUGCUUGCUCAGUGCCAUUUUGGUGCAGAAGCCUAUUAAUUGUUUAUUUUUCUGCUAAAAUUUUCUUCCAUCCUCCUUUCAAGAUAGUGCUCUCCACUGUAUGUGUGCAUAGUAUGACAUCAUGCUGUAAGAUAAAAAGGGAAUAAGGCUGUUAAAAUUGUGAAGACACUGUGGAAGUUUCCAUAUGAAUUAUGCUAGAGUUCAGAAGAUAUGACAGAAGAGAAAUUUAAGACUAUACAAUUGCAGUCAUUUUUUUUGUAAUUAUUCCAUUUCAGUAAGGAAACAAUAAUGAUCCAGCAGCCAUCUUCUCUACACAAAUAAUGUUCCAUUUACUUUAGAAACUAAACAGCCAGGCAAAACUUUUGCCAAGGUUCAUGAAGGUAUUCUAAAGCCUUUUUUAAUACAGGUUUCCAUUAGAUGUAAUGACUUAUCAUUUAGCUAAUUGUACAAAAAGCUCUCUAGACACAUCUCUUCAAGACCUAAUUUUAGCAAUAAUAUAUUAUUUUUACAUCAGUUCCUAGAGUACAAAAGCUUUUUUCUUGCUAAUGUCCCAGUCCAUGUGAAGUCAGAAACUUAUCUAGGCAAUGAAGGCAUUUGGUGGCACUCUGAUCAGUCUCAACAAAUGCAUUGAUUUUCUUCUCUAUCACUGGACAUUUCUUUGCCUUUCUUGAUGUGCCAAAUGAACUGAAGAAAUUAAAAUUAUGAAAUACAAGAUCAGGAAUGGGCUGGUAUAAUUCUAUCAAUGAUUUAAAGUAAAUGUUCUGACAUAAACAGUUUCAAAUUUUCUUGCCACAUUGCAACUUAAAAUAGGAAAUAUAUUUCCAAGUAGAAUUUCAAACAUCUUGCUGUAGCUAGGUUUUCAAAACAACAUUUUCUAUAAAAUGUUUUAUUUGUUGUGUUUUCCCAUUUUACUUUGUUGGGGCACUACAACUCUAUUACCUUAUACUUGCUUUGUCUUCAAUUGGUUUUGCUUCUUGUUCCUAUUCGCUCUGUCAAAUCAGUCUGACAACAAUGCUGUACAAAUGUGUGGCCAAAAUCCUUGUUUAGAUGAAUCCUUAUUUAGAUGUGCAAGUUUGUUGGGGUUUUUUGUUUGUUUGUUUGUUUUGUUUGUUUCUUAAUCCUGUUAAUUAUAUUUGACCUCUCGUCUAUUCUGAAUGCAAGUAUUAGUUGUGUAUGCUCCUGAAAUUUUGGAUGGCAACUCAAAAUAGGAGUAUGAGAGGCAAUUUCUUACACUCCCAAAUAUUGUUUAGUCCAAGUGUUCCACAGUAGACAUUUUAAGGAGAAACUUAGUCCUCCUAAAUUUGUUAAAGUAAUUCUUACUGUGUUUUGAUAUCAUGUGUAUCUAGGUGAAAACAAACUGCAUUGUAAGCUUGUAAAUCCUGGUGGAAAGACUGAGAAGGGAUUGUGUCAUAGCCUGUAAGUAUCUAAUGGGCAAGUGCCAAGUGGAUGGGACAGGACAAGGGGUACCACUCUUUUCAGUGGUACCCAGGGACAGGACAAGGGGCAAUGGGCACAAACUGGAACACAGGAUGUUCCUUACAAGGAACAUUUCUUUCCUUUGAGGCUGACAUAGCACUGGAACAGGCUGCCCAGAGAGGUUGUGGAGCCUCCUUCUUUGGAGACAUUCCAAACCAACCUAUGCAACCUGCUGUAGGGAACUUGCUUUAGCAGAGGCUGAACUCAGUGAUCUCCAGAGGUCCUUUUCAACCUCUGUGAUUCUGUGAAAUGCAACCUAUCUCCAGUGUGAAAUCCUGAAGGAAGUUCUCAAGUUUGAGACUGCAUUUAGGAGGCACAUUUCCAGAGUCAACAAUGGGAGCAAAGAGGAUAUUAGCUCCGUAUUUGCCCUUUGUGGUUUAAUAUGCACUCUGGGUCAUAAUGCUGCUCCUGCACAACACCUUCACUAUUAAGGACGGACGGAGGAACCCAUCAAGAAAAAACACUUACAUAACACUUAGAAAAAAGAAGCUGAAAUCUCACAACAGAUAUUUCAAAAUUCAAUAUUUCAAUAAAAGUUUAAAGUAGAGGUAGAGUGAAACUCUAAUAAAUAGUUGUUUCUUGACUAAAUGAGUACUCUAGAAUUAUGCAGCUUUAUGCAACUCACAUACAGCAGAAAUACAUCGUGCUGACUUCUUAGAAUAAAGAGCUAAAUGAAAUUAAACUACUUGAAAAAAAGCAGAUAGAAACUGAUCUGGGAAACAUGACAGAAUCAAUUUAACAUCAUGGUAAAUAAAAAUUUGAAAGUAAAGUUGGUCUAAAACUAAAAUUGUAUAUUAUAAAAGCAAGCAAUUAAAAAAGCUUCUAGAGAUGGUAGUGACAUUUUGUGAGGAAAACACCAAAAGAUUUUUUUCUGUAAUACCUCAUGAAAAAAAUGAACAGUGGAACCCAUAGUUCAUUUUUCAUGGGUGAAAGAAGGAAAUCGGCAUCCAAGGAGAAUCAGUAAGAAAGAAGAUUGAUAAAGUUUAUUCAUCUCCAAAACUAAACAAACAUUCUCCCCGCAAAUCUAAGAUUUCAAAAUAUGAAAGAAACCUCGUGAAAAGAUGGAGAAAUACAAUUGCCAUGGGUAAAAUGGUGGAUCCAAAAUGCUUGGAAAUGUAAAAUCAUGGGGAAGAUAAAUGAGAAAAGGAAAGAGAAACACUCAGUGUUACAAAGGGCAAAGUAAAAUGCUGACUAGAGACUACAUUUUAUUUAAUUAAAAUAACUAUUCACAAACUGGAGAUUAGGCUGAAUGAAACAACUUUGUUUUAGUAGUAGCAGGAUGACUGGAUGGUGGCAUUGGGAAUAUGGUAAUCUCUGGAUCGUGUACAAAUUCAAGCAGUUAUUUAUAUGUGUAGGGGAAAGGGUGAAAGACCUGGAUGUGAGAAAGAGAAGAAAGUAAAAAUUAAGAAAAUUAUUGGUUUUAGGAUACUCAACAAAGCAAAACACUUGGUACAUUAUGGGAAAAAAAAAGCUAAAAGUCAUAUAGGAAAACAUUAAAAUGCGAUACAUGAUCAGAGAACAACUGAGGAAUCCUUGAAAAUAGAGAAAGACAUUUGCAAGAAGUGUAAUGUGGAAUGGCAGACAUUCAGAAAACACUGAAAGAAAAAUGUAACAUGAGGCUUUAUAUAUGUGUUUUAUUUAUUUUCAAGUGUGGAAGAAUGGAAAGAGGGGGGUUUCUAAUUCCAAGCCACAGCUUCACAUAAAAAGAGCAACAGACAUUACCAUCUUGGAUGGGACCUACAUUCCCACCAGUAAGUAUCAGCAUGGUGUGCGGAAGAUAUAGAGCUCUUUAAAGCAGUUCCUUUCAACUGAAUAACUGUUCACUAAGGUAAUUAUUUAUGAUAACCAACUAUGAACCUAACAAUAGUUUUUACUAGCAGCUAAUUUACACAAUAUGGGCAUUUAUCUUCUCUUUUUGCUUAGUCUGAAGGCAGUUCAAUGGGCUUUAUGAAGGAAUUAUGUCAGGUAUUGAAUGUGGAAGGACCAUGGGGCUUUCUUAAGGAAAUAUUGUAAUGACAGCAAAAGCAUAAAAGCAGGAAAAAAAAUUAAAUUAAAUUAAAUUAAAACAAAACUUUUCUCUGCAGGCUAAUUUUAAGGUCAGUAGAUUAUAAACCAUUAUCGAAGAUGCUUUAAUUCUUUUUAAAUGAGAAUGGAGUGUUUUAGAGUCUGAGACAGCAGCACUGACCAUAAUAGGGAAAAAGAAAGGUCUUUCCAGACCAGUAUCUGGUCUUCAAUUGGGUCUACAUGUACAAGAGGGAAUAGGCAGAGCAAUUUAUUUUAUUUUUAGUAGUGUUUUAUAGAGAAGAUGUAAUUGACCUAACUGAGUUAGAGGUGGUUGUGUUCUGCUGAUUCUGCCAUACUCCCUACUGGGAUAUCUUAUUAAGUUUCCUUAAUUCUCAUAUUUAAAAAUAUAUUUUGUUUUUGAAAUAACAAAGCAGAAGAUUAAAUGUAGCAAGUCUGCAAAUGCUAUAUCCCAUCCAGCUGGCUAGAGUUCCUAUUUCUAGUCUGUCUGUAUCCAGCUGUUGUUUCCUUCUCUUGCUGCAAGCCCAGAAUUGUCUUUUUUUGCAUGGUCACAGAACACAGAACAGCUCACACUGUCUGGUCAUAUUUCAUAACACAACAGCACAACCCCCAUAAUACUAAUACUUGGUUUAUGUAAUGCAAAUAGUGGUUUAAGUAAUGCAAAUACAGCAUUAAAUGGUCUGUCCCUGGCUCAUUCUGUUUAUCGGACUGUACUAUAUCAUUUUGCUAUCUCACCUUCUCUUCUGUUGUUCUCUAGAACAGAUACUCUAAAUAGCAGAAUGGUUAUAGGAUCCUCCAGCUUUUUACCACGACAAAUUUUGACUGAAUAGGAACCGUAAGUUCUGAAACUGAAAGAAUCAGCUGUACUUCUAUAUAUCAACAAAUGUCUUUGUUCCUGAGGUAGCUGAAAUAUUGAGGCAGCUGAAAUGCAGACAGAAAUAUCUCUCUGCAGUGCUGCACAGCUCAGGGGCUGUCUCAGUCCCACCCAGCAUUUCAUCUGGCGGUGCCUGCAGCCUCACUUGUGCCAUCUGCGUGAUCAGGCUGCUCAAAAACAAAAUGAAUACAUCCUGCUCGUCAGUUUUACUCUGAGGAGGAUGCACUUCAAAGAGAAAAUGUGAUUUCAUGAUGUGUAUUUAGAAGCUGUUGCACAUGGCAGCGUUUCUGAUGGUAAAACAAAUUCAGAUUUUCCCAGCCACUCUUUUUGCUUCUUCCCACCACAUACACCAUUUAUUACCCCUUCAGAUUACUAAUUCAUCAGAUAAAUAAAAAGAUUACAAAGAGGAAGGAUAGAGGGGAAGGAAAGAGGGAAGAGGGAAUGGAGAAAGGCUAUAUAACCCAAAAGAGUUUUUUAAAAAAUGAAUUUAUUGCAAAAACAGUUGAGUAAGCAUCACUGAAGGAGCAGUAGUGAGAGAGGAUGGAGAACGGGAAGGCAGGAAGCUCCUGUGCUGCUGUAAGGAAGUUCAGAGGUGGGAUUGGAUUGCACUUUGAAACAUUGCCAGGGGAAUGGGCUCCAGGAGCAAGGAGGGCUUUGCUGUUUCCUUGCAACCUUGGAAUUCUCUCCUAAGAUAUUGUGACACAGUCUCAGCAACUGGAGGAGCUCAGAGGCUUGGAUAACAGAAAGGGCAUUGCAUGUAACUCAUUCUCCAGCCACUAUAAAAUUGUUCUUUAAUGCUAUUUGCUAUGUAUUUCUACUCUGGAGAUAGCCAGGUCCUAACAUAGGGUUUCCAUUUAGUUCCUUUUGGAAAUUUUUUAAUGCAAAAGAUCUUUCAAUAGGAUUUGCCUUAUUUUUUCCUCUUAUUAUUUAGUCAAGUUUUGUCCUCUGUUGUUUUCCAUUUUCAAAUCAGGCCACGCUUGAUUGUUACACAUACAGACAAGCUGCACUGUCUAACAUCUGAUUUUUUUUUUUCAUUUAAAAAAAAAAUGAACGCUUUUAUAUCACUCUUUCUCAUGUUACCAAUCUUCCAUACCUCUGAUAAUGAAACAUCUUUGUGCCCCAGAUUGAAUUGUAUUUCUCAUCUUUCUUCCAGAGCAAAGCUGGAAAUUAAAUACUGUUGUUCAAUAAGCUCUUCACAAAAACAGGUGUUGAGUUUAAAAUGCUGAAAACCUAUGCUCUUUGUACUGAGCAAGUGAUUUUGAUGUGACUUGUAUUUGAUUCUUUACAUUUCUGUUCUUGUGCCCAUAAUAGUAGCAAGAAUGCAGAAAGCAUCCUGUGUCCCUUCCAUAUCCACAGAGGCAGAGAGGGCCUUGAUCCGUGAGUGCAGUCAUGGUGGUUAACUUCAAUCAAACCUAUCUUUCCUAGAGAAUUAGGAAGGUGGUUGCAAAAAAGCCCUUAUAGGAUCUCUUUCUAAAUACUAUGCUAUCUGGAACACAUUUCAUUGUUUAUAUUGAUUUGAAAAACAAAGCAUCAUGAGCACUGACCAAUUGCAUGGCUGUCUUGCGAUAGUUGCUUGCAGAGCUGAACAGAGUCACCAGGAUAUCCUCAGACCAACUUGUAAUCACCAAGUUCAGCUUUAAGAAAGCCAAUUAGAGAGCUGUGUUAGCCAUACAGUAAAGCAGGAAAACCAGACCAGAAUGAAUCUACUGGUAGUAUGAGAGCACAUCUCUUACAAGCUGUGCCCCAGAGAUCUGUCUUUGUCUUCACCAUUCAUGGAGACAGGCAAACAAGGUAUGCUGAAGUGACACAGAAUUGUCAAAUUUGGGCCUCUGUAAAUCAAAAUUACAUUCUCUGACUGGAGAUCCUUUUCUGGAAAUGUCUGGCCUCCAGCCUUCACAAAUCAACACUAAAGAGAGUUAAAUGUCAUCACAGAUUAUAUCUUGCAUCAACAAUUUUCCCUGUACACUAUAUCCCAUAUGUAGAUGUUAUUUCCUUCCAUAUGGGCAGGAAAAACCUGCCUCAGCUGCAGUGAGCAGAGACCUUAACUAAAACAUCAGCUGAAGGAGGAGCCUCCAGCUGGUAGGAGAUGAACUCCUACUAUGCUCCAGCUACUCCUGGGACAGCAGAAAUCUGUUCAUGGCCAUGGAGUCAAAUAAUAAUUUAAGAAAAAAAUGUUCUGGCUUUUGUUAAUUGGAAGCCAUUCAUAGAGGAAUCAAAAUCUGAGAACCAGACUUUGGAAGGGCGAUGGGGGAAUUCAUUGGUCAGCUGUCAAGUCAGAUGUCAGAAAACACUAAACUUACUCUUCUUAAAUAGUGCAGUCCCGAAAGUCAGCAAAGUUGAUUCUUUCUCCUGGGGCCUUUGCUUCAGAAUGUCCCUCUGGCUGCAAUUUGUCUCUUCAAACCACCUUUCCAUGUAGAUGUGCUCUGAGAUCAUUACUACCUCAAGGAAUCUAAAACAUUCCUUUCUUCAGAACAGUAACCACGUGGCUGGAAAACAGGAGAGGAGAGAGUGGGAAAAGUGUGUGGAAGGCUGGGAGAUUCCUUCAGCAUUUUCUGGAAUUUUUGGCGAAUAAUCUCUGCUCAUGUGAAAAAAAAAUAGUAUGAUACUCAAUUUCUCUAAUUUUCUCUGCUUUUUUAGCUCUGUCAUAGCACUAUAUUGACUGUUCUGAACAGUAUGAUUUCUUGGAAAUUAAACAUAACUGGAUAGCUAUUCAGUACUGUAAAAUGCAUUGAUUGAAGUCCUAGUUAUCAUUUUUAGAUGUAGAAGUAACAUAUAAAUAUUUAUGCAUUCCAUAAUAUUAAAAAAAAAAAAAAAGAAAACCAUUUGAUUGUACUAAACCUAAACCUAGCAAUUAAUAGGCUUUAGCUGGCAGUCUUAUUGUACCCUAUCACAACUGUGAAAAUGUGCCAGCAAAGAGUAACCCAGUAUACUUCUGCAUAAGACAUAAAAAAUAUAAGCAUAAUGACAUUUAUUUUUUCAAAGAAUAAUGGCCUUCCUUGAGCUAUGCCAGUUAGAAAUAUUGUAGCCUGUGCAAGUGGAACAGAAUGGAAAUCAGAUUAUAGAUUACUGUGAUCUAAAUCAUUUAAGCAUUCCCCUUUUCCUCCUCCUUUCCUCAGUCAUACUGUGCUUCUCUUUCCUGAGUAAAGGUUAUUCAUUGGAUAAAUACUAGUUUUUUAUCCUGAAAAUCUUUUUGCUGUUUUUCUUCAUUAUUGCUUCUUUUCCUUGUGAGUUAGUGUUCGAUAUAAUAGAGUAUUUGAAGGGAAAAUAUUCAAAUUGUACUAUUAGGUGCUUUCAAACUGACAUCUUUAUUUAAAGCUAUAAUCAGGACCAAACCAAGAAUGAAGGUAAUCACAUUUAUUCAUUCAUUUUUAUUAAUUUUGCUAUCAAAAAUUUCCAGCUCUACUUAGCAGGCCACACUGGGCCUGUGUAAUGGGUGCUCAGAUGCCAGAAGUUUCAGACAACUAUAUAAUAAGCUGUCUGAAAUAAAAUAUGAAAGUAUUAACAGCAAGUUCUUUUUGUUUAAACAGUUAUUGAUAUAAGAAACCCACAGUCCUUCCAGCAGUGAAAGUGCUGUAGAAACACUAAGUAGCACUGGUGUUUCUGAGAAAAUGCUGAGUUUUACUUCUUGGGUUUAAAACUAUUUCAUCCACACCAUAUGCAAAUCUAUUUAGGAAACUGAUCUCUAACUUAAAUAUUGGAGAAAACCUCAUAGGAUAGGUAUGUAUUUUCACCCUGAUAUUCCUUUGGUUAGGGUUUAGUUUUAGUCUAAAAAUCGAUAAACAAUAUCACAGCAAGUCUUCGUGAACCUUUGAAAAAUGUCAGUUUUAAAGGUGUACUUUGAAAAACAUGAAAAAAAAAUGUUGAAAAAAGUUUUUGGAGGCAAGUUGGGGGUCAUAUUAUUUACUUCACUGAGUGGCUGCUUCAGACAUUAUGGACAUGGUUGUGUGGGAAAUGCUGGUGAUAGGACUCGAUGAUCUUAGAGGUCUUUUCCAACCUUGGUGACUCUGUGAUUAAUUGCGGUCCUUAUUUUUUUGAGUCACCUAAAUGCGCCUCUGUAAGCAGUGAAAGAAUCAGCUCUAUUUGUUCAAAAAAUAUUUCCAUCACUGUAAGUAUCGUAUUUCAUUGCACAUUAUGGAGCCCAAAUUUUCAUUGGUUAAGAUGAGCCAGCUGGAGUUUCUAUUCUGCUAAAUUCUAAUGUAAGGGGAAUUACUGUUUCCCACCACAGAAAUUCUGGGAGCCUUCAGGCCACCUACAGGCAGGUUACGGCCAACCCCAUUUGGCAUUUUAAUCACUGCCUGUGCUCAGGGAGAACCCUCUGCCUUACAGAGGGCACCUGGGCUCAGUUUCUGGCUCUCUCCUGGCACCCGUCAGGUUGCCCUGAUGAGAAGUAUUGCACUGCAAAAUCCAGGCUUAAUCUGGCUGUACUGAAGACAAUGCAGUUGGAUAAAUUGAUUCAUCCUAUUAACUGUCUUUCCCAUAAAUGUAUAAUACCAGCUAUCGGGAAGCAUUAGUACUCUGCUGCUGUGAGAGGUGGGACACCCACGAGCCUUGUGUGGAGUAAUAUAUUUGCACACUGCUGCUUAUUAGCCAUUUCUAAAAAAAGGGAAAUGAGAAUGCAAUUAUAAUGGGAUUACAUGUGUUUUUUGUUUUUUUUUUUUUCUUGUUUUAACUUGUUCAUGUAAUAAUCCUUGUUGGAGGGGCUGGAGGACAGCUGGAUCUUCUACUGGAGCUUUCCCAGGUUAUAUCAUAGUGAAAGCUAUGACCAUUUUCAGUGGAUCUCAUCAAAAUAAUUUAAACUUCCUAUGCAAUGACAUACACAUUUCAUUUGAUUAUUUAAUAAAAGACAGUAACUAUUGUGAAAACUUGAAUUAUGGGUACAUCACGACCUGCUGCCUCCAGCAUUUAAUCACCCUAUUAAUCCUGCUCUGGCUAUGCACCCACUGGAAAUACUCCCAUGAAAAACAGAACUAAGUGAAUGUUGUAGAAAAUAAGUUUGGUGGUUCUUAACUUGAGAAAGUUUCUCAUAAAUCAUUCAUUACCACUGUAAGGCCUGAGUAAGGAGAGCAGCAAAGACUUUGGUUGUCUCUUCUUUUGAAAUUUAAUGAAUAAACCACAAUCCAAAACAUUAUUCUAAUAUCAGUUUCAGCAACUGGAAAAAAACUUUCAGUGAUAUUUAUCACAUUUCAGGAUUUCUAUGAAGCUUAAAAUUCAUAAAUAUUAAAAUAGACUCUUAUCACUUAAAUGCAGUAGUUUCAACAAAUAUACCUGCUGUUUACCGCUUAAAUAGUUCAUUAAUAUUCAAAAUCAGCUGCAUUGCAAAGAGGGAAGACAGUUAUUUAGUAUGAUCAGAAGUAUAAAAAUAUCUACUUAUCACUCCCUUGGAAGUCUGCAGCCCCUUAACUCUUCCAGAGAUACUUAAGUGCACUUUUCAUUUCAAAAACUGCUUUGAUAAACCUUUUUACUAGAUGGUCUAGAGGUCUUUUCCAAACUUUAUGAUUCUAUGUGAAAUAGAGCUUUUCGACCACCUAUACCCAGCAAGUUCCUGCUAUGCAAUGCUGUUCCCCACUAAUGCCUCAACAGCCUGAUCAGGGAUGAGCCCAAGGGUGCAACACUGCAAUGCCAGCCCAAUAGUUUGGGGGCCAGCUUUUAAGUCUUGCCAAAAAAAAGUCAUGCUUAAUUCCCUGUUCCCAGUAGAAACAACUACAGGAGGAGUUACCCUUCCACUGUGUAAUUUAUUAAUAAUUGAGAUGAUCUUCAAGUUAUGUGAUGAAUGUUUCCGUUUGUUGACAGUCUUCAUUAAGCAGGAAAUCUUUUCAGUGUAUUUAAUAUCAGAUUACCUAUUUCAUAAUUUUUUUGUCGGUAAAUACACUUGGAGAGUGAGAAGCAGACAACCAGAAUGUUAGCAUUUAAGAAAAAAAUAAAUUGCUAUAUUCAGGGAGACCAGUAUUUAUUCUAGCAUAGUUACAGUUAUAAAUAAUGUAAUGUAACUUUAGUUUUCCUCUCUUUCAUUAACUUUUAAUACACCUGCCAGAAAACUUGAAUUACAGAUAAGAAGAUGAACUGCUGUUAUUUGGUAUGAAAGGCAGUUGUUUUAAAAAGGGAAAGCAUGGAAGGAUUUCAUUUGAACUCUCUUGUUCUGUUUUCCCUUCCUUUGCACAGGGAGGAAAUAUCAAGUGAAGGCAGAAAUGAGUCUUACUUAUCAGGUAUUGUGCAGUUUGUUUUCUGUUAGAUUUUGUUCAAGGAAGCUUACCCAGAAGGGUUUUUAUAAUAUAUAGGUUUAUGAUAAACAUUAGGCUGCAGAUUAAAUCUGCGCACUGCUCCUAUGCAACAACAGGCAAGUUGGAAAGGACAUAAAGAAAAAGGUAAGUCAGGCAGGAGCCUUUGUAGAGAAUUUUGAAAAACAGGCAAUAAGUCUUUCUGUGAAUUAGUGUCUUGAUGUUUUUAGCACCAGAAGUUUUUGGAAAAUGAGCAGAAUGAGUAAUACUGGUUUUGUCCUGCUUCAUGCUGACUAUAGCAACUCCUUUUUCAGUUUUCGCAAGCAUUGAAUUCCAAUGAAAUACAUUGCUGGUUACUCAUUCUUCUUAUAGCAAGCAGAAAAGUGUUGAUCAAUAUUACAAAUGCAGGAAAAAAAGCAGAAAGCAGCAUUCUGCUGACCCACAGAAUGUGCUGUCCUCACAAGAAUCCAAUGGUAAUUCUUACUGCUGUGGGAAGAGUUUUUCAGUCCGUUUAUUUUUUUAUUAUUAUUAUUAUUAAUUUUAUCUCAGAAGUAGUGCUGGUUUUGGAGAUUUUCUCUUGAUGCCCAUAAUCCAACACAAGCUCACUUACAGAAAUGUAAGAGUCGUCAAGUGACAGUUGUUUCUCCACAGCAGAAGAGCGGAAGCUGCAAAGCUUCAACACCCCUGAAAUGCUCUGUGCUGUUUUCUGGUUCUAUUUUUUCUCCUGCACCUUGAGAAAUACCAUUAAAUUCAAUGGAAUUCAAUUGCUGCGAAGUCAUCAUGUGUAUGGUUGGACUGGAUGAUCUUGGAGGUCUUUUCCAACCUUGGUAAUUCUAUGAUUCUAUGGUCUGCAGCAAAGACAGUGGAGAGUAUUCUGUCUAGAACAUUACUUUUUCAAGAGCUAACUAUAUUCCGAGGAGAGAAUCUGAGGAACUGCUAGGAAAAAAGAAAAGACAGUUUUAAAUGAUUGGGCUUUAGCAGACUUCUUUUUGGCAAUGCAAAGUGAUUGUAAUACAAAUUAACGACUCAUUUUGUGAGUGCCUCAGACCUCUGAAGGUGAGGUUUUGUCUCAGAACCAAAUAACGAUCCACUGCUGUGAGUUUGUCUUUGGAAUCUGACACAACUGUCAGUUGACACAAAUUAAUCCAUAUAGAACUGAAUUCAAGUUAAUGAGUUUUAAUUUUAACUUGCCUAUAUCAUCCAUUAUAUUGGAAAGUGUAUGCUGUGCUGCAUUUAGAUACAUCAUGACUAACAACAAUCAUAGAAUUGUCUGAGCUUGAAGGGACCCUUAAAGACCACGUAGUCCAACUCCCUGCAAUGAACAGGGACACCUACAGUUCAUCAGGUGCUCAGAGACCCAUCCAGCCUGAUAUUGGGUGUCUUCAGGUAAGGGAUGUCCACCACAUCUCUGGACAAUAAUGAUUCAUCUUGUAUGCAAAUCUAUAGAGAGAAAAUGUAGACUAUACCUUUCAAUUUCAUUUUGUGCUCUGUUUGUGCCCUCUUUUACUUAUUUGCAGCAGUAAUAACAUUAGCCAAGACCCCAAUAUUCAUAAUACUGUGUUGUUUUUUUUUUAAAGAGCAAUUAUAUUUUAUGGUGUAGGGUGCGUUUGUGCCUGUCUGAGCCAUGAGUGUACCUGAGUGACUACUGGGAGCUGUAGGACUCGGUGUGUGAAAGCAGAGGAGAAAGUGGUGAGGAGCCCCACAUAUAUCUGCAGAGAAGAUGGGGAUCUGUAUACUGAGGAUAUAUUAUAUUCCAGUGGCAGUACUAUGAUCACCAGGUAGCAGCAGUGUAACGUGGUAUAUGGAGAGACAGAAGUGCAGCUCCUCUUUAUGAAGAAGCCAGGAAGCUCAUUGGGAUGAAGGCUAAAAAAGUACAGUUUUAUUAGGAAUGGCGUUUUUGAGUCAUCAAAGAAUACAGUGCUGAAGUUUAAAGAGCAGUUCAAAUGCUGUGAAGCUCGGGAGAUGUGGGACAGACAGCAGCUGCACUCCCUGUGGCAUGUCUCGCGCUCUGGUAAAGCACUUACAUGAAGGACUGCCUCUCUGAUUCAGCACAGCAGUUCCUGUGGACUUAUUACUUAACGCUAAACUAAGCUGCUUCUUUGAUGUUAUUGUUUGUGAGUCGCUGAUCACAUAAAAGUUUUAAACUCAGAAGUCCUGACUGUGGCUGACGUCUGAGUUUCGGGAUUUUUGGCAAAUACAGGAUUUUUUAAUACAUAGCCAAGUUCCAUUAGCGACUCUUUUGAUAUAUGAGUUAAACAAAAGGAGAUCGUCUAAAUGGAAAUUUAUUCAUCAUUAUCAACUCAGAAAUAGUAAUUUUAAAAGAGGUCUCUCUGUUAUCUUAUACUACAUACCAAUUAAAUUUCUUUCACAAUGGCUUAUUUGGUAAUGCUUAUUAUUACUGAUUUAUUCAAAUUACUUUGAAACUAUAUUAAAAUCUUGACAAAAUAGUUGAGAGUAAAUAUUUAGAUAAUAUUGGCAGUUGGGUAUUCUUGACAAAAUAGUUGAGAUUAAAUAUUUAGAUAAUAUUGACAGUUGGGUAUGUAAUACUGCUCAAAGGUGGAAUCUAGAUAGAGGCACAUGCUUGUGUGUAUGCAGACUAGACACGGUCCUUUCCACUCUGCUCUCAUUAGGUAUGCAUUCAUCAACUAAAAACACAAGAAAUCAACAGGACAUGUGAAACAUUUUAUCUGUUCAGGGCCCUGUUCUGUUGUCAUUCCUAAAGAGGCGUGGUUGACCACAAGGGACUGUUGGCCAAAUGGGCAAAGUGUACACUGAGUAAAGGUUUUUGUGGCUGAGCAGUUCUUGGAAUUAAAAAAGUGAUGCUGCCAGACUAAGUUCUAUGUCAGUUUGGGAUUUAUGUUGGUUUUUACAUCUAAAUCUUUAUUUAGAUAGAUCCUUCCCAUUGGUGGCACUUAUCUGGUACUACUCUAUCACAUUGUUUAUUAACAGAUGAUGUCUGAAAGAGUCCUUGCAGCAUUUUAAAAUUAAAUCCUGAUCUCUGAUCUAUUACUCAGUUUAUUAUUUAAAUGUAAUGGGAUAUUUGCCUAAGUAGUACAAGGCAAUCAACUCAGGAACACAGCCUGUCUCUCUAUUAGUUACAUAGAAAAUGGACACAACUCACAGUGUGUUCAUCUUCUGUGAACCAAAUCUGUCGUUGCAUUUACAAGAGAGCAACUGCAAGGCUCUCUGAAACGCCAAACCUAUGUAAACAACAUUAGUAGAAGUAAAAUCUGGGACCUGUGAGUUGUAUUUCUUUAGACCACAUCUUUCGAGGAAAUGAAGGGCUUGAGGAAACCCACUUAAUCACUGGCACUCCCAGAGGAUGCAUUAUAAUUUUCCCACAUACUACUGUCUGAUAGAACUUGACAGCAUCAACACUGCUGACGGCUGCAAAAAGAAUUCUUGCAUCCAGCCCAGGAACAGAAACUGUCACUGAUUCAGGCUUGUCGAAAGAAACCCGCCAGAACUUUUCCUUUCCCACAGACACCCAUUCAGCAAGAUGCUGGGCUACCCUUUACUUUUUACACUGAUUUACAGAGGAAAUGAAAAGCCAUUUCUCCUGUAUAAAGAUGAUAUUUAAUCUGUCAGCUGAUUCUGAUGACACAGUUGUGGUUUAACAUCCUGAGAACAUUAUCUCCUUCUAUUAAAAUUAAUGUUUAGAGAGGAGAGUAAUUUGUUCAUUAUCCACAUGUUAGGUCUGGGGAUAUGCCUGUUAGCCACUUCCUUCCAUAAAUCAUGUGUUUUUCUUCCCUUUUACCCUUGAUAAAUAUAAUUAAUUUUACGUUGUUUUUUUUUUCAUACAUCUCCAAAGUAUUUGACUAGAUCAUCUAAAAUCAUAGCUGCAAAAUUAAAAGUACACCAUAUUAGCAUCAAUGCACGUGACUUCUGGUGCUAUUUUUUGUGUCAUUCUGCCCCAGAAAUCUCUGUUUUAAAUGUAGUGGUAUCUGUUUUGGUGUUCUUCAAAGAUGAGUCUUGAGAAUUUCUUCUUACUUCCAGUGACGGUGGCAAUAAAAUUUCUAAUCAUCUUAAACUGUGCUGUGCAGAGAAAAAGAGAGAGCAUGAAUUACAGUGGCUCUUAAGAGAAAGAAAAAUGUUAGAUUUUUGGUGAUAGAUGAGUGGGUAUUUUAUUAAUAAUUUUUCCUAAAAUCACUUUUAAAUUAUUCAGGCUGUCUCUUCCAUUGAAAUAUCAUCAAAUAUUUGGUAAGAGUACUUUUGAAACAUACGGAGCGUAGACUCCAGAAAGUAGACUCUCAGCCAUUAAUGACUGAUUUUCCUUUAUUACCAUAUGAAAUGUUUCUUCUUAUUAGAAGUCAUGAUAUAGGUAUAAAUGAGAGAACUGCAGAACAACACAUUCUGGAAGGGACUUGUGGAGAUCAUCUGGUUUGAGCCUCUGGCUAAAGUAGGGCUUGGAUUAGAUUAUGCAAGAACAUGGCAGGUCAGGUCUUGAGUUUUUUCCAGUAAUGGAGAUUUCACCACUUCUCUGGGUGACCUCUUUCAAUAUUUAAUUGUUCUCAAAGUGACAAUAUUUCUCUUAUACCUAGAUGGAAUUUCCCCCAAAGCAACUUGUGUCCUUCACCUCUUGUUCUGACACACAGCAUAUCAUUGAAGAAAUCACCUCCAUCUUCUUUGCAAUGGCCUCUCUUCAAACAUCAAGUUCUGUAGCCUCUAAUCAUCUUCAUGACCCUCCUGUAGACUCCUUCCAUUUCUUAAAGUAUCUUUUGACCUCGGGGAAAAAUGAAAAUUGGAUACAGUAUUCCAGAUGUGACCUAAGAAGUGCAGAAUAGAGGUGGAAUAAUUGCAUCCCAGUGCAAAACAUUUCAGCAGAAGCAGGUUUUUCAGAAAACUAAUGCUAGAAUCUGGUUUCCUGCUAAAAUUUAUUGGACUCAAUGGUUUUCCUUUGAUUUUUAAGUAGACAUGAUUAGAAGUAAUAUAUUUAUUUAUCUGGCUGGGAUUCAUCUAGUUUUGCUUUGAGUAUAAUUGAUAGAGCUGCUCAGAUCCACUCAUCCUGUCAUUUAUCACUUGCUUCCACCAGUGUUCCUUGCCCAAUAGUUUUAUCUUUUUAUUUACAUUUGAGAUGCUGACCAAAGUGUUCUUUGGAAAGGAUUUACUGGUUAAUGCAAGCCUUUGUUGCUUGUCUGCAUUUGUCCACUGAUGAUGAUGCCAUGUUUCAGAGAAAUGUAAAAAUGACUUGCAUUUCUUCAGACAAGAGGGGAACACCAGCCUCUGCUAGCCCUUCAAGUCUUUGACCUCUGCUAUGCCCUCCUGCUUUAUCACCCAUGUACUUCAGCAUCUUCCAAAUUUCCUGCUGCAACAGCCUGCCUCUGCCCCAUUUGACAGCCCCGAGCUGGGCAAGAUAAAAUUGCAGACCAUCCCAUGACAUGGUGAGAGCAGACACAUUAGCAUCUGCAAUAUGCUGAGGGGAUUCAUAUCCACAAAAAAGAUAUAUAGGGCCACAGAGCCCUAAUCGGUCUCUUUAUUGCCCAGAUACUUACACUGAAUGCAAGGUGUUGCAUUUCCUUAGGCACCUGUAAAUACAUUAAGGUAAAACUGAAGCUAUUUCAAGCCAUUUCUUUGCUUCUUCCCUUGUAGGUUACACAGUAUUUGCAAAGACUUUUCAUUGGUGGUGGUGUUGGUUUUAAUUAAGACAUUAAAAUAAUAAAACUGAGAUUUUAAAAACUUAAUUGUCUGUGGAUUAGCCACUGUCUUAAGACUAUUUUUUCAAAGGCAUGCAGCAUUCAUAGAAGCACCAAUAUUAGGCACAGAUUUUAAAAUGUUGGGGAAUGGUUCAAAGCUCAAGGAAGGAAGAUUUAGGUUAGAUGUCAGGGGGAAGUUCUUUACCAUGAGAGUAGUGAUGUGCUGGAUCAGGCUGUUCAGAGAGGUUGUGGAUGCCCCGUCCCUGGAGGUGUUCAAGGCCAGGUUGGAUGGGGCCCUGGGCAGCCUGGUCUAGUACCAAAUCUGAGGUCUGUGGCUCUGCCUGUGGCAGCGGGGUUGGAGUUUGAUCCUUGGGGUCCCUUCCAGCCUAAGCCAUUCUAUGAUUCUAUGAUCAUAGUAUAUUUUUUUCUCUCAAAAGACUAGGGUCUUAAAAAAUUUGAUCUUUUGGAGUAGUUGACCUUCAAAGUUCCUCUCAACCCAAGCAGUUCUGUGAUUCCAUGAAAAAUAUUUUUGCAGUGUUUGGCACUUACAUAGAAAUCCAUGGUACUGCUUGAUUUACGCAUUGCAGCUACCUAGUUAAAUGAUCCAAAAUGCAAAUCUGGUUUUCUCUUCCAUAAAACACAUUAAACUAUCUGAAAGUUCAUUAAAAACUUCAAAAAUUACUGCUAUGCUUCAGUCACCAUUUGAUUUGGAUCACCCUUAUGCUACUUCAAUUUCUGGACAGAAAGAGAGGGGAAAAAUGGGUGCUGUAAAAUAAAUAUUAUAUUUUUAAAUGAAUCAUCAUGAAAAGGGAUAUUUGGAGCUAUUCACAGCAAAUUUUUCUUUAACAAAGCCAGUGCUCUGGGCAGAUAGACUAUUAUCAUCCUUUCUGCUUGUAACUAUAGAUAAAUACAGAACAUUUGAAGAUUUUACCUUUGUUUCUCUUUGCACUGAGACUGAUAUUCUUGGUUAAAGCUUUAAAUUAUUUAUUUCAUUUGAUUAACACAAUAACCAUGGACUGGACUAGAUCAUUUUUUUUCAUACAAAAGAUGGUAUUGUAUCCUAUUUCUAUAGCUGCAUUACCACAGAGUUCUACUUGCAAACAACUUGCUUGAAAAAAAAAAAUGGGUCUUGCUUUUUUUCUCUUCAUGGAAUAUUUGCAGUCAGAAUAGUGUUUAUGAAUUUGUUCCUACUUUAUAUGGUUCGAUGAACAGAUUUUGUGAUUGCUGUCUAGUUCUGUACUGUUUGCCAACUGAUGACAGAAGGUAUUCGGGCAAUUAUAUGAAAUUCACUAUUUCAUUUUGAUGGCAGGUCAAACGCUUGUCUCAGUAUUGUCUUUUCCUCACUAAGCUCAUUAAAGAACUGAAUUAAUCCUCGUUUAAUUUACACCCAUCUUCAGAGGCAGCUCAGAAGUUCUCAGAAGGAUAGGAAAGAUUCAAUCCUGUUGUCCCUUGGAUAUGGAACCAGGGGACUUCCAUGCUGCUCCAGCUGUGGGAUGGGAAAGGACUAGAGAUAAGAAUGGGACCAAGUUAAAAACUGCUAUUCUGGCUGCUAUUAAGGGAGGAUUAAAUUUGUCUGUAUGAGGGAGAAGGGCCACUGCUUAGAGCUGUAGUUCCUGUGCUUCAGAUCUUGGUUCUUCUCUUAUUUUGGGAGUGCAGUGAGGGAUGGGGCAGAUGAAGAGGCAAAAACAUGGAACUGGCUAAACCUAGCAAAAAUGAACCUCAAGCACUGGGGCAGUGAGAACUCAGCUCUCUACCAAAAUCAAGGAACACUUGGUGGUAGGGAGAUGGGCUUUUCAUUGCAAUCUUCUUGCUCAGGGAUCCACCAGCCAUUUACAGACAUUUUCAGUGUGUGCUGCGUAAGUGAAGACAGGCAGAAAUGGCAGGUGGAAGCACAUUUUUCAAGAGAGCAGAUGGGAAACAGGCUCAGCAUGACUUAUUGUGCAUAAAUAUAUUGUUAGUUUCCUGCUGUUGUUAUAAGCAAAUGAAUGAUGUAACCCUUCCCCCUUUCAGUCAAGUUGUUUUUUGUGCAGACACAGUAUUUCUGAAAAUCCUGUAUGGGAACUGGAGAAGACUGAGGGUCUAAUCUGUGCACAGGGAGUGCUGUGCUUAUGGCCAUUGGCUGUGUUUUGUUGUUAGAAGGAAAACUCUCAGUACUAGACCAAAACCACUGCAGAAACAUGAUUUAAAAAUCUGAUGCCCUGUAAGCUUGAGCUCUUGAUUCAGUCAUAUUCAGAAAAUUUGAUGAAUUUUAUGUCAGUAUGGCACUAUCUGAGCCUGAGUUGUAACUUUAUGCCAGAUCAAGUAUCAUCUGUCCUCCUACAUCAGGCAUAAAGCCAACAACACCACAUAACAGCAGCAGGAAAUCUGUAACACACAUACUAGCCAGUUGGUUGGAAAGGUAAGAGUAUACCCACUCUCAAUCCAUAAUCAAAUUUGCUUCCUGGUGGUUGUGUAGACAUCAUGAGAUUGUGACUCCUGGCUUUGUGUUCCUCUCUUGGAUUUAGUUUUUGUGACACAAACACAAUUUAUGCUGGAUUCGUGUGUUGUAUGAUUGAAGUACAUUUAUAGGGAACCUAGACAAGCACUCACAUUAAAUAUUACCCAAAACACUAGUUACAUAAAACAUCCUCUGAGCUCAUUAUAUCAGACGCAUUUCAUUUAGCAAUAUGUAGUUAUAUCUUUGUCGCCUAAUAGAAGUUACAGAUUUACAGAUUUACAGAGUUACAGAUACCAAAUAAGUAUGCCUGGGGAAAGUUGAUCAUGAUUUUCUCUUUUUUUGCCACUCAAGUUCUACUGGGAUGUCAGAGAGUCAGAGGAGGUCCAAACAGUAGAACUUAAUUGAAAGAAAUAUUGACUAGAUGUCUGGCAAAGCUGCAGCAUUAGGAAAUCUUCAAGCUAUAAAUACCAAAGAGACAAAGGGUGUCCAGAAAAAUCCAUUUUUUUUAAUGAAGGCGUACUGUGUGUGAACAGGGUUUUCUGCUCUUCGACCAGUUCUGUGCCUAAUCCUGUUUCUAUCUACAUGACUCUUUUAUAGUCUAUCUGUGUCUUACACGUGAGAAGAAGAAUUAUUCCUAAAGGACACAUUUGUUUCUCUAAUUCCCAGUGUGAAGCCAGGUUUGCACUUAACUUUCCACUGUGCUUUUAUGCAUUUAAUUGCACUGUGAAAUCCAAUACUUUGUGUUUGUUUGAAUUAAUAAAAUAAGUCUCCUCAAUGAGCCUUUUUUGCUUUGGUUCGAUCACAGCAUGUGUAUGAUUUAAAAGUUGCACCACCCACGUUGUCCAAAAUUUUGCAAUGCACAGAUGCUCAGUAAAUUGCAUACCUCCAUCUGUGGCAAUAUAAUUAGCUGGAAGAAGGCUUGUGUUUGGAUUUAAUGUAUUGUAUUUUGAUUCAGCUUGAAACUGUUUUAAUUCCUCUGAAUUAUGGGGGUGGGAGUUCUGCCAUUUAAUAUAGUCUGCUCUUAAAUUUAAAAUAUUUCUCAGUUUAAACUGAGAAAGAAAUUGAUCCCAUUUUAAGUAGCAAGAACUGCAGUGCCCAAAUCCAGUAAUUCUUCAAAGGCUUUGUACAUUCAUAUACAUAUGUAAUGGCUGUGUUCUGUUUUCAUAUGGGUAAAGCAUAUGAAAAUGAUACGACUAUAGUAAAUAUCUGAUAUUUACAUUUCUAGAAAGGAAAUGGCUGGAUAUUUCCUAUUAUAAUUAUAAUUCUUAGAUUUUCAGUAUCAAUUCUUAUUUGAAUUCUUCAAGGACUUCUAACAAACUGAGUAAUGAAGUUGUGUAAGAAGCCUGCAAAAUUGUUUCUGCAGGGGACAGGGGACAAAGGGACUGCGAUUUGCCUAAUUUGCAAAAGCAAUAGAAAAUUCAAGCAUCUUGUUCCACAACGUUAUUUUAGUCACUUAAAUAACAUUCAUAUGAGAAUGGUAAUACCAAAAAAUACCAAAAUAAAUGGUAUUUUAAAGAAAAAUCUUCACAGGAAACUCUUAUUGUAGUUGGUUAGGUGGAGUGGGACAGAAUAAAGCAAUCUUUUUCUAGAAACACUGGUCCUGAGAUUUUGGCAUACCAUUUUUGUUGUUCUACUUCCCUAAACAAAUAGAUGUGUGCUGUAAAAAAUCUUGAAAACUGAUGCCCCAGCUGGCACCAUACAAAAAGUAUGAUCAAACUACUGUUCAUUUUUUCCAAAAAUACACUUUUCGUCCUAGAUCAACCUGCAAAUUCAAAUAUCUAUCUGAUCCUCAUCAAAAGAAGCAUGCAUUUGCACUUAUUAUUAUAAAGGAAAACAUUCAAGUCUUUAUAAGCACUUCUGCUCCAUAUUGUCUUUGGUGAAACUCAUUGUGUGGAAGAGUGUAAUACUCAGCCAACUGCUGUAUGAGUUUGCAAGACAGCCAAAAAAUGCACAAACAACCGCUCAUGUUAUCUGUCUGUCACUGUUCUUCAAACUGGAUGCUAGUAGGCAUAGAGGAACAAACAAAAAACCUGAAAUAUUGAUCUGUGAGUCUCAUCAUUAAACUAACUUAUUAGGAUGAAAUAGCCUUAGAGUUGAUGGCAGUAUAUAGAAUACUGGAAACAGGCAAUAUUGCCUCCGGCAGCUCAAACUAUAUCAUCUCAAACUCCUCUGAGCUUCAGGGAACUUGUUAGUGAAGUCACUGGAGUACUCCCAACUAUUCCUGUGUUCCCAUCCUUCUCCCUGCUGCACUUUCCACCUUCCCUACAGUGAAGAAUCCUCAGUAAACUUCACAAAGACACUUAUCUUUCUUUCAUCUUCCUUGUAAACAAUUCCUUGUCCAUCUUUCAGUUCCUGUGGUUGCUGAGAAGCAAGAGGACAAAUAUAUUGUCAAAAAGAUGCUUUUACCUUUUGCAGAAAAGUAUCUCUUAUAUUUCUGUCUAUGGUUCCUAUAAAUGUGUAGAAUAUUUUCAUAUUUUUUUCCCUUUUGUCUUUGCCCGUCCUCAAUUUUAAUGCCUGCUCUCAGAUAUAUUAAGAGUUUUGUCAGAUAAACACCUCCAUCUCUAGAGGUGUUCAAGGCCAGGUUGGAUGGGGCCCUGGGCAGCCUGGUCUGGUAUUAAAUGUGGACGCUGGUGGCCCUGCAUGUAGGGGGGGGGGGGGUUGGAGAUUCAUGAUCCUUGAAGUCCCUUCCAACCCAGGCCAUUCUAUGAUUCUAAGAGUUCAAUCCUCAUGAUUGAGUUUUCAAAAGCUAGAAACUGUUCAGAAACAUUUAGAAAAAGUUUAGAGAUUGAAUUCCAAGUGACUGAUUUAAUACAGUGCAGGUACCGCAAGAACCAAAGCACAGAAUGUGCAUCUUACCUUAGAGGCACUCUUAGACCCUUAACUGAUUUUAUUUUCUGUUUGACAAUAUCACAUAUAUUACCUGACUGUUAGUAUCUAAGUAUUUCAUAUUUAGUCAAGUUGUAACAGAUAGAUCACUCAGGUCAAUGUUUAAAAAUCUCUUCAGAGAGGUUUUGGCACUAAAACAGUCAAUAAAUUCACUUUGGUUGAAACACUGUUCUUGUAUAAUCAUAGAAUACCUUACCUUAAAAGAGACCUUUGGAGAUCACCUAGUCCAUAUUCCUGCUUAAAGCUCUUUACAUAAAAAUGACAUCAGCUUGCUCUGGGCCUUGUCCAGUGGUUUCACAGAUCUCCACAGGUGGAGUUUAUACAGCCAGUAGAGCAGAAUACAUUAACUACAUUGUUUUUUUCCCCUUACAUUUAACUAGAAUUUUCCCUUCCUCGUUGAUUCUUAUCCUAUCACUAUGUACCUCCGAAAAGCGUUUGGUGCUGACUUCUCCAUACUCACUUAGUAAGUAGUUGAAGAAAGCAAUUAAAUCUCUUCCUCAGACCAAACUAACCCACCUUCCUUAACCCUUCCUAGCAUAUUAUGUUCUCCUGCCCUCAGCCAGGCACUCUUCAGUUUAUUAGUGACCUGCAUUGGACAGUAUUCUCUUGAAACUUCAUAGCAAGGAUUAACCACUUACUUUGAGCCAUACCCUUAAUAAUACUGCCCAGUAUAUAGUUAGCUUUCAUCACUGGAAGGACUUAAAUUUGAGUCCUGACUGUUCUAUUUAAUUCUUCUUGAUUUCCAUUACCAGAAGCUGAGAAUGGUGGUAGUCAGUUUUCAUAAUUUAUGAAAAGCUGAUGGUGGCAAUGAGAGUGUUUAUGAUGAGUGGUGCAGGUUGCUGGUUUUCAGAUAUUUCAGGUAUGGUUUUGUCGUAAGGUUACUCAUCUGCUUGUAACACAGAGUGGAAAUUUCCUAUUUCAAAUGUUUAGACAUUUCACAAGUAUCCAGAUCUUUUCUCUGGAUACACAGCAUUGCUGAGCUGCAAGUAGCUGCAUUGCAAGAUGCCCAUUUGCAAGAUCUGGGCAAGUAGUCUUUUUAGUUUGAAUGUGUCACCCAGUAUUUUUAAAGAUAUAGCAUUAAACCAAGUUCAGUAAUCUCAUUCAGUACUACAAAUUGUCUUUUAAAUUUGUUUGGCUGUAGGAUAAUGUGGCAAUUUACCAUUUGAUGUCAACACACUGAAUGUUCCAGUUACUUUUGAAUUUUAUUGUCUGCUUUAAAUUAUAUAACUUUUCCUAACAAAAUGUUCUUGGACCAAAUAUACCAUACUUCUGUUAAACACUUAAGAUCAUGUUUUUCAGAAUGUUUGGUUUAAAGUUAAAACCAAAAAUUUCCUAUAACUUUUUCAGGUUUGAAAAAAAUUACAUCUUUCUCUUGUACUUACUGAGGGCUCUAACAUUACAUUCCAUAAAAUUCCCAAACAUGUGAUGUUACAGUUUUCAGUGAUGGAUGGUUGAUUUAUCUGUAAAAAUCUUACUUAAGUUUUGUAGGAGACUUACUCAGUGUUUUGGAACUAUUUGUGAUUAGUUUACUUAAAAUAAAAUAAGCUCCCACAUUACCUCAUUUUAUAUACUCCUUUAGGUUUAGAAGCAUCUUGGAGCAAGGAGAGAGUUCAACAAUGCCAGUGGGUGAAAUAAAUGAGUAGAAUGUAACUACACAUCAGCUGAGUUGUAUUUACAUUUACUUAAUGGAGAUUCUAUCCUAACAGGUAUUGGAUGAACAGAGCUCCCUGGCACUGUGUUUCCUUUCAUCUGUUCCCAAUGGUGUGAUGUGGAAAGGUAUAAGAAAAAGGUAUCACUCGUGUAACACCUAAUCCUCAACAUGUUACUCUGAAGCCUCUGGACUUCAGUCUAGCUGAGUAGGGAGCUCAGGGCAUCCUUUUGUCCUCUUCUCACUGGAAGAAGUGAUACAUGGACUGGGCAGGUUUGAACAGAGAAUUUCAUUUUGUUCGUUAUGUCUUUCCCUUUUCACUUUUCUUACUAGAAACAGCAAAUCAGACUAGAUAGGUUGUGACAGGUCAAUCCAGGUGUAGAGUCCCGUGAAUUGCAGCAAAUGAGAAUGCAGUAUGUAAUCAGAGCAAAAUAUUCCUUCACCUCCUCUCCUGCUCUUCCCAUGUUUGUGAUGGAAAGAAGGAAAGAUUAAAUCCUUCAUGCUACAGGAAAAAGAGGGCAGAAGUGCAAAAGAAUCUAGGGAUCUUGUUUUUGAAAAUAAAUUAACUCAUUAUAAUCUCUAAGUGAUGUCUUAACGCCAUGCUGAUUGGGGCAUCUGGGUCUGCUGUACGUAGACAAUAAAAUUACCUACAUGCAUAAAUGACUACUUGUAUCUUACCCGGGCUGAACUUCACAGAGAAUCUGAAUACAAAGUCGAGCAGACUUCCAUUAAAAAAGGCUGAGCUGCUCUACUGAAGUGCUAAGAACAUUUGCUUUCGUGGCAAGAAAGAUGUCAAAAUUGCUCAGCUUUUUGCAGCAUUGUGCCGUAAGACUCUGUAUCUCUAGCAGAUUGACAAGCAAAAUAGUACAAAAAGUGAGUGGGGAGUUGCCAUGGUGAUCACAACGUUUGAUAACUGCAAAUAACACUUUUUCAUAAAGCAGCCAUGAACCAGAAUACAGCGGUGGUAUUUAUUAUGACCAGAAGUCCGAAUUCCUAUAAGCCUGUCCUCACUGACUUUCAGCAUAUUGAUAAUUGAUUCAGUUUGAUGCUCAGGAUAUCACUUCACAGUCAAAACCAGGUUUUUGUUUUGCUUUGUUGUCCCCUCAUGAAUUGGUAGGAACUAUAUAGAAGAGAAAAUUGGAAUCUGAAUACUACGUAGAGAUGGUAACCACGUAGAUAUCUGCCAGCAUACGACUUCCUUUCUGCUGAGCGGCUAUCUGUAAUGGACUCUUCUACAUCAACCUGUCUACAGCUUUGGAAAGACAAUAUGUGCAGUCAUUUAGUUAUGCCAGCUUGCAACAGAAAGUCAGGACAGAACUGAGGCAACAAGUCAUGCAUUUAUCUCCUUGUUUUACUACCUAUGGUUACAUUCAGCAGCAGAGAGACGAGAAAAGGCAGAGCCCCCACUUGUCAACAGAACUGACUGAAGCUUUUUUGUCUGUUACUACAGAGAGGCUGUUCAGCCACCUUUAAAAUAAUUUCCUCCUAAAUAUGUAGCUAGUGAGCUAGUUAGUGUAGCUAAAAUUUCACUAGACAUCAGACUUCAGCUAACACUGAAAACAAUACUUAUUUUAUCUCAGAUUAGCUGCCAUUCUGGUUAGAAUGACUAACUUAAAGUUUCCUGUUGAUUCUGUUCUCAUAUCUUAAAAAGUCUCUACUAAUAAGGAGAGAAUCACAAAUACAGUCUGAGAGAAUGGCGUGACUAAUCAGAGCAUCAAUUAAAGAUAACUUAAUGUUGCACAGGAAACUUGGGAAAAUUGAAGAUUUUGCAAAUGCACAGAAUCUAUUUUGCAUAAUCUCUAUAAUAUAUUAUUAUAAUGUAAAAUUGAAGUCAGUGUCAUUAUCAACAUAGAGAUUACGGCAACCAAAUUUCACUUAAGACUUGGUCAUAAUUUUGUCAGUGACUCUAUCUUUUAAGACACAGGGAAUUGGUAAGUGCACUUGUGGGAGCAAGUGUUGUAUAUUCCAUCACCUAAUAUGGCUAACAAGCACAACUAAACCAUACAGGAAAGAGGAUGCCAUAGAACUUGAUUGACAGUCUUUUAUAUAUAUAUUCUUUUUUUUUUUUUUUUGCCCCCAUUCAUUCCAAGUGCAGAGAUUGUAAUUGCAGAUCUACUCUUUGAACAGCACUGACUCAUCACUAUCUAUUCCAUUUCAGAAUUUUAUUUCUGUAUCACUAUCCAAUCCUUUUGAAGUGUUCCUGCUACUGGUUCUGUGCUUAGUCUCAGUGAGUUUGGGUUUUGCUUGUUUACUGCAAUUAGGCUAUGAUUAUGAGUUAUGAAUAAAGCUUAGGAGGGAAAAAAGGAUAGAAAUCUUAUUUUUAUUUUUGGUAAUUUAGAAAGUGCACA
rnacentral:lncRNA from 1 species